rnacentral:tRNA from 1 species
ACCUAGCUGGCUCAGUUGAGUGUGUGACUCCUGAUCUCGAGGUUGUGAAUUCAAACCUCACGGUGGGUG